ensembl:lncRNA
GCUCUAUACCCACCUGGCUCCUCACUGGCCUGUGACCUCAUACAGGUCAAUGGACAUCAGUCUUGGGGUGGGAAGGAUGGAAGCUGCCUCUAGCUGGCCUGGAGGAGAGGGAGCUGGGGGAGGAAGACAGGCCUGACUUCUGACACGUGAGUCAACAACGCCCGCAUUGUUGGAGCCAGUUUGAGCCAGCUUUCUGUUACUUGCAACCAAAAGAAUCCCAGAAAUUACAUACUAUACUGAAAUCUACCUUAAACACUGCAAGCAAUAAAAAGGAAGAAACUGGAGCUGGUGUUGAAAGGAAAUUAAACCAAGGAGAAUUUCUGUGAACAAAGGCUCUGAGGUUAGGAGCAAAGGCAAAUGCUUCCUGAAUAUCCCUUCCAUUUUCUUUGAAUCCAUGUGAAGCAGAGCGUAGUUCAUUCGGGUUAAUGACCCCAUUGAAAAAACCUGUCUCAGCCCCUGCUGUCUUCUGGAGUCCUCCAGCCAUCUUGGGGGUUCUGUCUCCUGGGCACCUGCUCUUGAAGGGAUGACUGUCCAAGGAUAGAUUGCGGGUGUGCUGGUGGAGAGUGUCAGGUUUAAUUAAAGAGAAACACUUAGAUCUGGUGUUUUACAAGGAAGUGUCCGAGCGUUCAGGGACCUCUGUUGCCCAGUGCGGACGCCUGAUCUCGACCGCUUUCGGGGGAGCGGCGCCCAAGACCCGGCCACCCUGACUCGCCACUUUGCGGAGUGCCUCCCCCACGCGCGCUCGCGGCCGGCGUCCCGCCCCCACCCGGUUUCUGCUCCCUUCUUCC